AUACUUACCUGGACGGGGUCAAUGGGUGAUCCAUAAGGCCCAUGGCCUGGGGUUGUGGUCUCCAUUGCACGUAAAGGAGGGGCGCUAGCCUAAGGUCUUUCCAAGUGGAAGAGCCUACGUCAUUAUUUGUUGCUCCGGGGGCUGCGCAAGCGCGGCCCUGC